rnacentral:tRNA from 1 species
AGUUAAUAAGCUAAAAGCAAUUGUUUUGAAAACUUUAGAUAGAAAUUUAAAUUUUCUAUUAACUU